UUUUUCUUUCUUGAGCAGCAGCCUGAGACUUCGAGAUUCUUCCAAAACCCUUCUUCUUCUUCGUGAACUUCCAAUCUCUGAUUGGAUUCGAUUUCUGAGUAAAAACUUCUGUGUGAAACUGAAAUACUAAGAGAUUUGAAGGGAUUGGUGUGUGAUUUUACCCUUGUGGUUUCCUUUAAUCUGAUAGAGGAAAACCUUAGGAUUGGGGGGAUCGUGUGGGUCAAACAUCCUGUGUUUUUCAUAAGUCUGAGCCCUGAAAUGAAAGGAUCUCCAUCUGAUGCCUUUUGGUCUGAGUUUCUACGAACUGCAGGAGGAAUAAUGUUUCUAGAAUAUUUUCUUGUAACUCAUUCUUGAUUGUUUUAUAUAUUUGUGCUCAUAUCUUUGUAUAACAGUGGUAUUAGAGCCUUCGAUUGGCUCAUGUGGGUGAAUCGAACCAAGUUCUUGCGAGAUACUGUAGAUCUGUGACUGGAGUAGUUCGAUCUUGAGUAUUGUGGACUGUCGGCUUCGUGAAAUCUGUGGUGGUCAAGUGAAACGACCACCACUGUGGUUUAAUCCUUUGAACUUCAAUUUUUUUUACUGCCUGGUUGCUCGUUACUUGUCUUAGUUGACUAAUAAUCCUUUCCUAAUUGUUUUUGUGUCUGGACCUGUGUGAUUAGCGAUAAUCUGCCUAUACUUGUCUAUUAAUCAGUAUUGAAGUAUACCUGUAAAUUUUGUUUCUGAUUCUUGUUGUACUGGAAUACUAUAACAAUACUUGUGAUUGUUUUUUGUUCUAGGUUUUUUGUAUUAAUAUCUCUCAAUUUUUUUUCUUGUAUUAACAAAAACCUCUACCCUUUACCCAUGCCUUGAGUCUCACGGAAUCCUGGUAGGGCUGGGUAGUUGAUCUUUAAGCUUUGUGCUGGAUACAGUGUGUAUGUUAAAGUUGUUAUUUCCGCACUUACACAUAUUCUGCUGCCUUGCCUGUAAUAGUAAAAAUCUCUGCUUCUUAUCUGCCUGUUGUGAUCAAAACAAUAUUGCUAAGUGUGACCUGUUUGAUCUAUAAAAUGACCACCACUAGCUUUGAACUUGGGGUCUUUAAUGGAAAGGGAGAUUUUCCUAUAUGGCAACAAAAAAUGAGAGGGGUUCUAGUACAACAGAAAGUCUCUAAGGCUAUAACUGGAGAGUUUCCUGAAACAAUGACACAAGAACAGAGAACUGAAUCAGACGAGUUAGCCUAUACCUCAAUCAUUCUCCACCUGUCUGACCAAGUGUUAAGAAUAGUAGGAAAAUUAGAAAAUGCUAAGGCCCUAUGGGAGAAAUUAGAGGAGCUGUAUUUAGUGAAGUUUUUACCUAAUAAGCUCUUCUUUCUAGAAAGGUUUUUUAGUUUUAAAAUUGAUUCAACCAAAGACCUAGAUGAUAAUCUUGAUACCUUCAAUAAAUUAGUACAAGAUAUCACCAAUGCAGGGGAUAAAAUUUCUGAAGAAUAUAAAGCAGUAAUACUUCUUAAUACCAUACCAGAGGCAUAUAGGGAUGUCAAAUCUGCCAUUAAGUAUGGCAGAGACACUUCGACUCCUGAAGUUGUUAUAAAUUCUAUAAGAAGUAAAGAACUGGAACUUAAAACUAAAAGACAAGGGAAGGAAUCUAUUUUGUUCAUAAGAAGAAGACAACCAAAUAGGCAAUAUAAUAACUAUCCAAAUCAAAAUCAUUCAGGAAACAGUAACAGAAGGAAAUUCAGGAGUAAAUCAAGAUCUAAAUCAAAAUCAAGAAAUAACAAGAAGUGCUAUGGUUGUGGUAAACUUGGACACUACAUAAAAGAUUGCCAUAACAAGAAAAUAGAACCUAAAGAAAAGAAAGUUGAUGAGGGAAAUGUAGUUGAGCCUGCUGAACCUAACACAGUUGAUAUAUAUGUGGUGGCUCAGCAACCUGAUCUGGAAGUGGCAAAUUAUGCUCACAACAGAUAUGUCCAUGAGUGGAUAUUGGACUCAGGUUGCACUUUUCAUAUUACACAUGAAAGGUCAUGGCUUCAAGAUUUUAAGAAGGUAGGAGGUGGUGAAGUGGUUAUGGGAAAUAAUAUUGCCUGCAAAGUUGAAGGUUUAGGUAAUGUGACCUAAAAUUUGAAAAUGGAUGCAUGUAUACCCUAGAGAGAGUGAGGUAUGUACCUGAACUCAAAAGGAAUCUGAUCUCUAUGGGAGAAUUAGAUGACCUAUGGAUGUGUGGUAGGAUUGGAGAUGGGUUGAUGAAAGUGAUCAAGGGAUCUCUUGUCAUCUUUAAGGCUAUAAAGAAAAAUGGAAUCUAUGUAGUUAAAGCUGAAACAGUACUUGAAAAUAAUGCUACUGUUUCUAAUACUGAAUCUGAUUCCACCCUAAAAUGGCAUAAAAGGCUUGCACAUGUUGGUGAAAAAGGCCUCACAAUCCUACAUAAAAGGGGGGCAUUUGGUAAGGACCAAAUAUAAAAAAUGCUCUUCUGUGAAAGCUGUACUUUUGGCAAACAUCACAGACUCCACUUUGAUUCUGGAAAGCAUAAAACUACUUUCCCAUUGGAAUAUAUCCACUCUGAUUUGUGGGGUCCAACCUCCACAACUACCCAAGGGAAAAAUAAGUAUUUUCUCUCAAUAAUAGAUGAUUUUUCAAGAAAAGUGUGGGCGUUUCUACUAAAACACAAAUCUGAAACUUUCGAAAAAUUUAAGAGUUGGAAAGUCCUUAUUGAAAAUCAAAUGUCAACAAAGAUCAAAAUUUUGAGAACUGGUAAUGGACUUGAAUUUUGCAACUCGGAAUUUGAUAAAUUUUGUGAACAAAAUGGAAUCCUAAAACACAAAACUACCCAAUACACUCUCCAACAAAAUGGGGUGGCUGAGAGAAUGAAUAGAACCUUGUUGGAUAAGGUCAGGUGUAUGAUGGUGGGAUCUGGAGUUCCCAAGGUGUUGUGGGGGGAGGCUGUUGUAACAGCCACAUAUAUAGUGAAUAGAACCCCAUUUAGUGCUUUGGAAGGAAAGACACCUGAAGGGAAGUGGUCUGGGAAACUACCAGACUAUUCCUACCUUAAAGUUUUUGGGUGUAUAGCUUACUGUCACCAGAAUUUAGGGAAAUUGGAGCCAAGGGCUCAGUAAUGUGUGUUCUUAGGUUGUCCUGAAGGAAUUAAAGGCUAUAGGUUAUGGGCUAGAGGUCAUGGGGGACAUAAAAUGAUAACAAGUAGAGAUGUUACCUUCAAUGAGGAAGAGAUGCCCUGUUUAGAAAAACAAAUGUCUGCAGACCCUGAAAAUCCAGAUGUGACAAGGUUUCAGGUGGAGUUGGGAUCUCAAACAGUUUCUGUUCCUAAUAAUAAUAUGGGAGAAAAUGAACCUAUACUACCUCAGACUCAGACUGAAUUAUAACAUUCAGGUGUGCAGGAACAUGAACAAAUUGAAAUGAAUGAUCCCAGUCAACAAAGUGAUCUUAGUGACUAUCAAUUGACUAGGAAUAGGUCUAGAAGGAACAUAAGAGAACCUACAAGAUAUGAACACUACUUAUCCUAUUCUAUCAUGUCUUAUAAUGACCUAGCCUAUAAGGAACCCAAGACCUAUAAUGAAGCCAUGAGUUGCAACCAGUCUGGUAAGUGGGAAGCUGCCAUGAGAGAAGAGAUGAGCUCUUUAAUGAAAAAUAAAACUUGGGAUCUCGUGCCUAGACCCAAAAAUAAAUCCAUAGUUGAUUGUAAAUUGAUUUACAAGGUGAAAGAAGGCAGUUCAGAUAACGAGCCUGUAAGAUUUAAAGCAAGAUUAGUUGCUAAAGGGUUUACACAAAAAUAAGGUGUGGAUUACAAUGAGAUAUUUUCACCUAUUGUAAAAUACACAACUAUUAGAGUCCUAUUUGCAUUAGUUGCACAUCACAAUUGGGAAUUAGAACAAAUGGAUGUAAAAACAGUUUUUUUACACGGUGAUUUAGAUGAGACAAUUUAUAUGUCACAACCCGAAGGCUUUGUGAAUAAAUCUAAAUCUGACUUUGUGUGCUUACUUAAGAAAUCCUUAUAUGAUUUAAAACAGUCACCUAGACAAUGGUAUAAAAUGUUUGAUAAUUUUGUCAUGACUGUUGAUUUUGUAAGAAGCUCUUAUGAUCAUUGCCUUUACUAUAAGGAAAAUUCUAAUUCUUUAAUAUCUAUUUUUAUAUUACUUUAUGUUGAUGACAUGUUGUUAAUUGGGUCUGAUUUAAAACAGAUAAAUAAUAUUAAAGAGACGCUUGGGGCUGAGUUUGAAAUGAAAAAUCUGGGGCAUGCUAAAAGAAUAUUGGGAAUGGAUAUACUUAGAAAAAGAGCACAAUCCAUUUUGAUUUUGAAACAAUCAGCUUACACAGAAAAAGUCUUAUCUAAGUUUUCCAUGCCUGAAUCAAAAUCUGUGUCUUUGCCUUUAGCUAGUCAUUUCAAAUUAAGUAAAGAGCAAUGUCGAGUUGAAGAAUUUGAUAUAAGGUACAUGGAAAAGGUUCCAUAUGCUAAUGCUGUAGGGUCUAUAAUGUAUACCAUGGUCUGUACCAGACUUGAUGUGGUUCAUGGAAUCAGUACUUUAAGCACGUUUAUGGCUAAUCCUGGUCCCGAACAUUGGGAAGCACUUAAGUGUCUACUUAGGUACCUAAAAUGCACAUCUAACUUAAGAUUAGUGUUUAAAAAAUGUAAUGAAGGAAUAAUGCUUAAAGGCUUUGUGGAUGCUGAUUUUGCUGGUAAUAGGGACAAUAGAAAGUCCACUUCUGCCUAUAUGUUUACACUUUGUGGUACCUGUGUGAGUUGAAAGUCUCAAUUACAGCCUAUAGUUGCUUUAUCAACCACAGAGGCUGAGUAUGUUGCUGCCACAGAAGCUGUAAAGGAAGCUUUGUGGCUUAAGGGACUAUUAUCUGAAAUUAGAAUGUUAAAUGAACCUGUUGUUGUAUAUUCUGAUAGCCAAAGUGCAAUACACCUGUGUAAGAAUCCUGUUUUUCAUGAAAGACCUAAACACAUAGAUGUAAAGUUUCAUUUUAUUAGGGAUACUGUCUCAAAUGAAUCUGUUCUUCUUAAAAAAAUUCCUAUACAGUAUAAUCCAUCAGACAUGAGGACAAAGGUAUUGCCCCUUUCUAAGUUUAAAUCAUGUUUAGCACUUUUGAAUAUUGAUACAGGUUAAUUUCUUCAAUAAAUGUACAACUUGGUGUCAAUUGGAGAGCUGCAAGUGUUCAGAAAUCCCAUUGGCAUCAAGGUGGAGGUUGUUAGGUUGUGAUGCCCAAUGGCCUUUUCUGGGCUGUGAUGACAAAAUGGGCUAAAGCCCAAUUACUGGUUUAUUAUUACUAAGCUCUUACCCAAUAACUUGACCCGAUCCACCCUGGCCCAAAAAUGUUUAAAACGUGUUUCUGUGGCGAGGCGUUUUUAACGCAGCCAGAAACACGCCUUCUUCAGUUUUCAUGGGAGCCCCUGACCGUUGGAUGAAACCUUGAUCAAUGGUUGCCUUUUGUGGGUAUAAAUAUAUCCGUCUCUUGCCCUAAUCAGCUAGAACGUCAUUUUUCUUUCUUGAGCAGCAGCUUGAGACUUCGAGAUUCUUCCAAAACCCUUCUUCUUCUUCGUGAACUUCCAAUCUCUGAUUGGAUUCGAUUUCUGAGUAAAAACUUCUGUGUAAAACUGAUAUACUAAGAGAUUUGAAGGGAUUGGUGUGUGAUUUUACCCUUGUGGUCUCUUUUAAUCUGAUAGAGGAAAACCUUAGGGUUGGGGGGAUCGUGUGGGUCAAACAAACGG
rnacentral:lncRNA from 1 species